AAAAGGGCAAUGAGACUGCUGAAAGAGAAGCUGCCCUCACUGCUGGUAAAUUACAGGUGUGUCUAAAGCUGCUGCAAAGGCGCAGCUGAAAACAGAGCAGAAGAGGAGCGGGCAUAGUCAGGUAGAACAGAGAAGCAUAAAACACCACCAAAAGCAAAUGCAUAAAUAAGAAGCAGAGAACAUCAGGGGAGAGUUUUGGUGCUGUUAGAAAAAUGUGCACGGCAUAAGAAAAUUUCCGUGGUGAUGACAUUAAUACUGUGCAAAAGGGCAAAAAUAAAACUCUGAGCUGCAUGCCAAGAGGCAGCAGCAGCACACAGUCAGGAGAAUGAAUGCUAGGGAGACAGUAGGACAUGACUAAAUGUGUUAGGCUGCAAAGCCUUCCUUAAAACUAUGUCAGAGACGGAAAGGAAUCACAACCAUGCAAAGCUGAACUAAAGCAAUGCGAUGUCUCCAUGCCAUUAGGCAGAGUAAAUUGCAAGUCAAAUCAGUGUUGCUGGCAGCACCAACUCUUUUGCUUUAAGCUGCACACAGCGGAUCCCUCAUCACACAGGUGCUCUAAGUCUGAAGCAAACAAUUCAUGCAGUCAAGGUCUACGUUGCUACUUCUGAGGUCCCGAAUGAACGGCAGUGAAUAAAUAUUGCCGAGUCUUAAUGGAAAGUCAUGUCUUACCCAAGUCGCAUGCUUUUCACCAGAAAGAAAAGUGGAAGGCACAUGUCAGUGCCAACAGCACCAUCUUCUGUCUGCAGAGGUUAUGCAGCCUUCACUCACGCUUCCCUGAGUCCUCCAGAGAUGGGGCCGGUUGAGACUCCUGGAUCUACUGCUGGAUGUUGAGCUCUUCCUUUCGCUAGUGCUUUCGCUUCUACCCAACUUGUUCAGCUUCAUCUAAACUUAGAAGAUAUGUACACAGGUCCCACUCACGAAGAGCUCCAAGCAUGGCAUCCACCCAGCAGGAAGCUGUGUCCUCUGCAUCCCCUGCAGCCUCUCUGUCCACAGAAACCAACGUGGCUUCCCAGACAGAGCUCCCAGGGAACAUGCAGCCACUCAGGUGUAGGGUUGCAGAGAGUGCCUGAACUCUGGAACUCAAUGGACAAGCAAAUGUGGAUGAAGGUCCAUCCAGGUUGGAGGGGUCACUUAUGGUCACUUUCGUCAAGAAAAACAGAAAGGCAGUUGUUAGAGAAACACAGAAUAUAUCAAUCUGAAAGAGGAUCACCAGGAUCACUGAGUCCAACUGCCAGCUCCAAACAGAAACACCCAAAACUCAAACCCUAUGUCUGAGAGAAUUGCUCAAAUGCUCCUUGAACUCUAGCAGCCUGGGGCCAUGGCCACUUCCCUGGGGACCACUCCUGCUGCAGUUGUUAACAUACUGUUAAUACUAAGCAUAAAUUUUGCUAUUUAUGUACCAACUAGCUCAUUACAUAUUAAUGAAUGCCUUCUGGGUGUAUUCAGUGCUAGUCAGACAGGGAUAAUCUUUCUUCCCAUGACCCCUACUGUUCCUUUCUUUUUCUUGACUUCAUAUCUACCUUCCUGAUUUUUUUUCCCUUUAGCUUUCUGCAUCACGUUCACAUACUCCCUAGUCUAACCUCUCAUGAGCUGAAUUCCUCAUCCACUUGUCUGAUCUGACAAUCUGCAGUAGUGCAGUUCAAAUGUAAAUGCUGUGUUUCAGUUGAUAAGAUUUUGCACCCGUUGUGAUAAAAAUAAAGGCAAGGUGGAAUUCAGACAAUAAUGGAGAAAAACAAAGCACCUGAUAUGUUAUUGUUUUGAUUGUACACACCUUUAAAGCUUAAUUUGGCUAGGUCCUGCAUGUGCCUGGAACUUUUGGGGACUUAUUCAAGCCUGUUUAAAAGAAGUGCCAACAAUACAUCUUGACUGCAUGCUUUAGGUAACAAAUGGAAGAAUUACUAAAGACAUCAGAGUGACUGGAUAAGCAAACAAAACAUGCUAUAGCAUAGAAGAGUUCUCAGCUGGUAGCAUUCUGUUCAGUUAUUUCAUACAUCCUGUCAUUCCUCUUCUGCAAAGUGUUUUUGUGUGAGUGAAACAAGGUACAGUGUUUUACUUCACAUUUAAUUGUAUCACUUUGAAUUGUUUUCUUGAUCUUUUUCUUGAGUAGUUAUUUUAUUUGGAACGACAUACACGGCAAAGUGUUAAACCUAAAAGGAAACCUUAUUAACAAGCAGGAUUAAAAGUUGUUCCUUUUCCCACACAGGUAGACUUGUUGUGUUCUGCCAUGGUCAUGUGGACAGGUCUCAGCAACUAGAGAAUGCCUGUUUUAUAAAUGAUCGUUUGAAGCUGGCAGCCCAUGGCUUCAACAGCUAUGCUCUCUGUUGGAUAAAAAACUGGCUGGAGGACCAAGCCCAGAGAGCAGGGGUGGAUGGAGUUAAAUCCAGCAGGCAACCUGUCACGAGUGGUGUUCCACAAGGGUCCGUCUUGGGGCCUGUCCUGUUUAAGAUCGUUGCUGAUGAUCUCAACAAGGGGAUUAAGUGAACCCUC
ensembl:lncRNA